rnacentral:rRNA from 1 species
UACGAAGGGGGCUAGCGUUGUUCGGAAUUACUGGGCGUAAAGCGUGUGUAGGUGGUUGUCCAAGUUGGAUGUGAAAGCCUUGAGCUCAACUCAAGAAAUGCAUUCAGGACUGGAUGGCUAGAGGACCGGAGAGGAUAGUGGAAUUCCCAGUGUAGUGGUGAAAUACGUAGAGAUUGGGAAGAACACCAGUGGCGAAGGCGGCUAUCUGGACGGUUUCUGACACUAAGACUCGAAAGCGUGGGGAGCAAACAGG